UCUCCGUUGGUGAACCAGCGGAGGGAUCAUUACCGAAGUUACCUUCAAAACCCACUGUGAACCUUACCUCUUGCCGCGUUGUCUCGGCGGGAGGCGGGUGGCGUGGCGCGCCCUCGGGCCGCGCCGCUCCCGUCCCCGCCGGCAGCGCCAAACUCUAAAUGCACAGCGGACUGUACGUUCUGAUUUACAAAAAAAACAAGUUAAAACUUUCAACAACGGAUCUCUUGGUUCUGGCAUCGAUGAAGAUCGCAGC
rnacentral:misc_RNA from 1 species